CCAAAUGUUUGAUGUGACAUUAUAUGCAAAUAAAUACACAUUGUAUUACGUCAACCACAUGCAUCCGUUCCAAUCUGACCUAAUCAGAGACGACGCUGUGCUACGUGGAAAUGUCUGACUAGUGAAGCUGCCUGUAGUAAGCUCAGGGAUGCAGCAGCUGGAGUCCUGGGAGGUACGCAGAAGGCGUCACGUGAUCUGAGGCGGAGCCCAGUCCUGCACAUCCAUUGGCUGUGGCCACCACGUGGGGAGCUGGCGCGCAGAGCAGCAGCCGGAAGCCAGCCCUGCGCUGUGGCUGAGGUGUGGGGACCUAGGAAAGGGUGCACUACCUCAGCCUCACGCCACAGCCACAGCCAGGUAUUGGCCUGUUUGUGUCCUGCGGCCGCCAUUUUGGAUGUGUGGAUUCCAUUUAGCUUUUCCUGAUGCCACAGCCCCAAGCAACCCUAACUCUCUCACCCACAGCAGACUUCAGUUUCCAAGAUGAAGCCACCAAUACUACCAUGAUUUAAAAGAGACACAAGAUGCAUUAAAUGUAUGUUAAAAAUCACACAGAUACUCAUUUGCCUGUAUCUCCUAGUUUCUUCUGUUAAUGGGAAAAAUCUCUCUGGGACGGUGAUGUAAUCAGCCACUAUUCUCAAUUUUAACACUAUGUUUUGUACCUGUGAGAUUAUGGGUGGGCGCUUUUUUGUGGGUGUUUUUGUAUUGGGUUUUUUGUUGUUUUUUUCUGAUAAAAAGAGGGUGUCUUAGUUACUUCUCUCAUUGCUGAAACAAUACUAACACCCAAAGUUAAGGGAGGAAAGGUUUAUUUAGCUCACAGUUUGUAGAGGUUUUGGUCCAUGGCUGGCUCAAGGCAGAGUGGCACAUGGCAGAGGGGAUUCGCAGAGGAAUCCCAUUGCACCCAG
rnacentral:lncRNA from 1 species